rnacentral:rRNA from 1 species
GUCUAUGGCCAUGCCACCCUGAACAAGCCCAAUCCAGUCUGAUCUCGGAAGCUAAGAAGGGUCGGGCCUGGUUAGUACUUGGAUGGGAGACCACCUAGAAAGACCAGGUGCUAUAGGCA